rnacentral:rRNA from 1 species
AUAUCAAUAAGCGGAGGAAAAGAAACCAACAGGGAUUGCCUUAGUAACGGCGAGUGAAGCGGCAACAGCUCAAGUUUGAAACCUGGCGCUUGCGUCCGGAUUGUAAUUUGCAGAGGAUACUUCGGCCCCGGCGCUGCUCUAGGUUCUUUGGAACAGGACGCCACAGAGGGUGAGAGCCCCGUCUAUGGGCGGUGCUUGGGGCCAUGUGAAGUGCCUUCGACGAGUCGAGUUGUUUGGGAAUGCAGCUCUAAAUGGGAGGUAAAUUUCAUCUAAAGCUAAAUAUGGGCACGAGACCGAUAGCGCACAAGUA